GUAGGUGCUGCGUGAGUUUCAGUCAUCUGUUUAAUGGUCUCAAAGUUUUUCUUUAACUCACUGAAUCUACAGCCUUUAUCAUUUGUUCUGUUGCCAUUGUAAAUGGCCUUGCUCUUUGCCAGAGUAAGAGAAUCUGUUAUAAAAGGGUUGUAAACAGGGAAGGUGGAACCAAGAGAUCCUGCAGGCAAAAGAAAGGAGGUUUGAAUUAAGUUGCAAGAGGAGUCAAUCUUCUGCCUGUUUAUUGUUGCUUAUAAUCUAGAGGGGUUUCCAUCCAAGCAGUAGCAAUACUGCAGUGACUAUACUGGUACCUGGCAAUGUAAUACAACUUAUCUUUUAAACUGUUUUUUCCUUGUUUCUGGACCACUCCUCACCAGGCAUAAAGCACUUAUUAUCAUAUUGCCUGCAUAUAGAAAUUAUUUCAUGGUUAGCAGCCCAGUAAUGUUCUAUCAGGUUCUUGAUUAAGAUAUAAACUCAUCUGGAUACAGUAAUAUUCUUCAUAACAUCUUAUGGAAAUUAUCUUCUUAAAUCAAAAAAUAUUUAUCCAGUUGGAAUCAAGGUGAAGAGACCAUGCCCUCUUUCAGUUUGUUAAAAUGAAUUGCAUGUAUUUGUUAUAUAAAUUCUGGCUCCUAUUACUAAGAAGAAAAUUACAUGUGAAUCAUUCUGCUCCCUGCUGUAACUUUGGGUUUCUUAUUUAAGAAACAAAUGUAGUUAGGGGUGUAUUUUAUAUCUGGUUGAGGAAAAAAUUCCCCUAAAAGCCUGGUCUAGGGAAGAAACUACCUACCAUGGAGAAAGGCAUACUUAUGGCUGAGAAUCCUGCCUUCAUGAUCUCCUGUAGAACUUCUGUUUUCUCUUGAGUCUUAGUAAGAAAAUGAACCUGGAAGGAUCUAGGACAUUCCAUAUCUUUCCAGUUCUUUUUUGUUAGCAAUUUACUUUAAUACUUUUUGUGCCUGCUUUGCGUGCAGUGGAUCUGCUUCUUCCAAAUGGAUCUUUCUGUGAAAAUUACAGCACUUCUGUGUACAGUACGUUCAGGGAUUUGCUUUCUCUUGUUCUUUUGUAAGGAUUAGCAGAACAAUUAGUCACUCCUUGGCACUGUGAGACUAAGAGCAUGCAGUUCCAUGAUUCUGUGAUAAUAUUUCAAACAGAUUUAGGGAUCAAAAAUUCAUCAGUGAUGUUUUGCUUUGUAAGUCAGAGACUGGUUGAUUAACUUAACAGUUCUUGUCUUGAAUUCACCUUUAAGUGCUAGAAGAAUACUUCUACUCAGAAAAUGACGUUGCUGGAAUAGGUGACACACUACACUCUCCUCUAACUGUUGUUAUAAGGGGAAAUGGCACAGACUUUCCCAGCCGAGGGGCUGUUUCAGGAAGGGAGUUGUCUACUUUUAUGUUCUUUAAACACUGUGUACAUCAGAUUCCAGCCCAGCUCCAGCAGGGCCACCCAGAGCAGGGCACCGAGGCCCAUGGCCAGGUGGAAUCUAGAGAUUUCUGAGAAGGAGACUCCACAGCCUCUGGGCAGCCUGUGCUGGUGCUUGCUCAUCCUCACAGUACAGAAGUGUUGCCUGAUAUCCAGAACCUUUUGGAUCCUUUCUGUUAAGCUUUAAGUUUUCAGCUUUGUCUGAGUAUAAUAGAAGAUAGUUUCUUGGAUUUUUUUUAAGCUCUAGCAAAUCUUGCUGUACAGUGCAGAUAUUAUGUAUAAAUGUGAAGGGGAAAGAUCAUGAAAUUUAAAAAUGGCAUGUAACUGUAGCUGUAGUGCAUGUUGUUUGAAGACUAAUUUUUCCAUUGAUUGAUCAUCGUUAUUAGUUGCUCUCCAAGUCAGUUAGCUCGGGUACAGGAGUGUUUUGCAGUGAAGUGAGGGACUGUAGUGUGCAGGGGGGGGGGAUCCUGGAAUCAAGCAGAACGCAAGGUGAAGGGAGAGCCAGCAAGAACCACCAGCCCUCAUUAGAGUAGCUGAGCAGGUGUGGGUGGGUCCAGGAGCAGUGGUAUUCAGAUCCAGGGAUGGACAACUAUGUUGGGUUGGGCCAACUCAUAUUAGAACCAGUGACACUAAAGAAAAAUGUUAGUAACUGGGGACUCUUUGCUGAGAGGCACUGAGGCACCUAUCUGCUGCCCAGAUGACUUCUCUAGAGCGGUUUGCUGCCUGCUGUGGGUCUGCAUUUGGGGCAUCAAUAAGAGGCAUCUCUUCUGAUAAAGCUGGAGAAAUACUGUCUGGUCCUAUUCCUUCAAGUUGGGUCACAUGAGGCUGCAACAAGGAAAUUUCAAAAUACUGCAAGAGGCUUUAUGUCUCUUGGAAGGAUGUUGAAGAGAUUAGGAGUACAGGUGAUAUUCUCAGUCUUCAGUUGGCAACUGGUACUUGGGAAGGAGGAGGAGAAUGGAUCAGUUGAAUGAUUAAGCAUGAUACCAUCUAUGCAGCCAGAGUUUCAGCUACUAUGAUUUUGGAUGUACCUUGGAGAGACCGGGCACGCUGGUGUUGAGUGGGACACAACUGACCAGGAGGCACAAGAAUGCUCUGGGCAGCAAGCUGUCUGGGCUGAUCAACUGAGCUUUAAACUAGACCUUAUGGUGGGAAAAAAAAAGUACUUCUGAGUGACAGAAAAGAGUGAGGGAACACUGACACUUCAGGAAGUGGCAGGGAAAAACAUCAGAUUCCUCCCAGAGGAUUUUGGGAGGACUUCUCCAAGAAGGUAACAAGGCUGACAGUCCAGCUGAGGUGCCUCUACAUCAGUGUACAGCAUGGGAAGAACAACACAAGCUGCAAGCAAUCCAACAGGCUCCUGGGGUCUGAUGAGGAUAACUUACCUGUUCCAGGUAUUACACAAACCAGACAGAGGUGUAGUGUUACUGGGCCUGACACUCACCAGUGCAGAGGAGGUCAUUAAAGUGGUUAAGGUUGGAGGCCAUCUAGGCUGUAUCCAACACUAUUGUCAGCUGUAACAAAAGAGGGGUGGCCAGCAAGGAAAGAGAGGUGACUUAGCCCCUCUACUCCACCCUUCUGAGGUCCCAGUGGGAGCACCACAUCCAAGUCUGAGGCCUCCAGCACAGGAAAGACAUGGAGCUGCUGUUGCAGGUCCAGAGGAGGGCCACGAAGAGGGCUGGAGCACCUCUCCUAUGAAGAAAGGUUGAGGGAGCUGAAGUUCUUCCUUCUAGAGAUGAGAAGGCUUAAGGGAGAACUCACUGCAAUCUUCCAGUAAUUGACAGGAGAUUAUAAAUAGGAGGGAAAAUGACUUUUUACAUGGACAGAUGGUGAUAGGACAAGAGGGAAUGGUUUAAAACUAAAAGAGGAGAUUUAGAUUGGGUAUUAGAAGGAAAUCUUUUCCUCAGAGGGCGGCAAGGUGCUGGCGGAGCUGCCCAGAGAAGCUGUGGUGCCCCAUCUCUGGAGGUGCUCAAGGCCAGGUUGGAUGGAGCUCUGGGCAACUGAGCUGGUGAAAGGAUGCACAAAUAUGGAAAAGUGGACAGAAGAUUAAAUCCUCCUUAUAACCGUUUUCUCCAUGUUGUAUCAUCCAUUCUACAACUUGUGGGAUAUGAAGCCCAAACCUGCGUUUGCUAGUAGUCUAAGGAUUAUUUCAUUGUACUCAUCCAUUACUUUAUCUUCUGGCACUAGAUCACGAUAGGCGUUUGCAUUUGAAUAAAGCUUUUAGAAAAU
ensembl:lncRNA